rnacentral:rRNA from 1 species
UGGGGAAUUUUGGACAAUGGGGGAAACCCUGAUCCAGCCAUGCCGCGUGAGUGAAGAAGGCCUUCGGGUUGUAAAGCUCUUUCAGCCGGAACGAAAAGGUUACGGUUAAUACCCGUGACUAAUGACGGUACCGGAAGAAGAAGCACCGGCUAACUACGUGCCAGCAGCCGCGGUAAUACGUAGGGUGCGAGCGUUAAUCGGAAUUACUGGGCGUAAAGCGUGCGCAGGCGGUUUUGUAAGUCAGAUGUGAAAUCCCCGGGCUCAACCUGGGAACUGCGUUUGAAACUACAAGGCUAGAGUGUGGCAGAGGGGGUGAAUUCCACGUGUAGCAGUGAAAUGCGUAGAGAUGUGGAGGAACACCGAUGGCGAAGGCAGCCCCCUGGGUUAACACUGACGCUCAGGCACGAAAGCGUGGGGAGCAAACAGGAUUAGAUACCCUGGUAGUCCACGCCCUAAACGAUGUCAACUAGUGUCGGGUCUUAACGGACUUGGUAACGUAGCUAACGCGUGAAGUUGACCGCCUGGGGA